UAAUGGAGACAGAAAAAGGAAGCCCUGCGCUAACAAGACUUCCCAUGCAAGCCGCUUCAAAGGCGGUGGCAUUAGUUAACUAAACGAUACU
rfam:Lactobacillus manihotivorans DSM 13343 = JCM 12514 strain DSM 13343 NODE_7, whole genome shotgun sequence.